AUUUUGGAACUGAGGGAACUAGGUGGAACUCCUAGACUGUCUCUAAUCAACCGUAAAAGUCGGGUCGCUCGCCAAAAU
rnacentral:ncRNA from 1 species